UAGCUGGCACUGUCACCGUGCUGUCCCAGUUGUAUUUUUCUGUAAGGCGAAUGAUGAGAGGUCCUGGGGCCCAAACGAUCUCAAUCUAUUCUCAAACUAAAUCAGCCAGAAGCCGGGCUCCCUGGAGUGGAGCCGGGCGGGGAAUGCGAGUGAGUGCCUGGUGGGCCAUGUUUGGGGAAGAACCGAAGGCCGGGUUAGGGCGCCCGAUGCCGGCCUCCGGCAGACCACAGAAAGGAUGCUCCUUGAUGCAGGCAGCGGGACGGUGGCCACGGAAGUUGGACUCUGCAGAGGAGUGCGGAACAAUUCAUCUGCCGAGCCAACUAGACCUGAAAAUGCAUGGCGCUGGAGCCUGGGCCCAUGCCCGACUGUGGCCAGCGCUCGGAUCUGGACCAGU
rnacentral:ncRNA from 1 species